rnacentral:miRNA from 1 species
ACACAUAAAACUAGUGAAUUACUUUGAACAUGGCUUAUAAGGAAAGACAUAAAACAUAAGAACUAGUCUUUCCUUAUAAACAAUUUUCAACGUAAUUUACUAGUUUUCCUUUG